ACUCCAAGGGGAAGAUCAUCUUCUCACUCUAUCCCCCCUUCCAGCUCCCCAUCCAUUCCCCUGAGAGCCAGUUCCACACUCAGUAAAACCUCACACUCAUCCUUCAAGACCGUGUGUGACCCAAUUCUUCCAGGAUGCUGACCAAGAGCUCAGGAUACAGAAAGCUGUCACAGUGGCCCACCGCCCUUGCGAAAAAGCAGAGGGUCCACUGAGCUAGUUAACACGUGAGCCAUGCACAGAUGGCAGGGCUAUCAGCCCACUUGGGCUCCUGCACCUGUCCAUCUGCGUGCUCCCUCUCCCCUCAAGAGUUUGAGCAGCUGCAACAAUCAAAGAAGUGAGUGACACUCCUGUGUCACUUCGAGGGCGGUCAGGGAACUCUCCUGCUUCCCCAGGACAAGUGCAGAUCUGAAGCAGCAAAGAGCCAGUUGCUUAUUACAUCAGAAAAGUUUUCACGCUAUCACUAUAACUGUUCUGUACUUGCAAUCUGCUGCAUUAAAUAUUAAGCUCUUUCCUCCUAAAGUCAGGAAUAAUAUACGUUAGGAUAAAAUCAAUUUUUUAAUGAACCAUUGUAUUUUCAGCUAAUUCAAAAAGGAAUGAAGGUGUUGAGUACUUCUUUGAAACACAUACCCCCAUACUAACACCUUUCUACAACAAAUUAGUAUUUUUAAAAAGCUCUGUGCCCAGAACACAUUGACCAGAAAAGCAGGAGUCACUAAAAAAUUUGAGCAAUUUGAAACAAAGUUAGGAAUUCUGUCCUCCUUAAAACAAACAAAAAAGUCUCAAACUUUACAGAGAAUGUAUUCAAACUGUACAGUUUACCAAGAACUUAGUUAGAAUAAAUGAUUAAAUGCAGAAAAAAGGAGAAGAACUAUAACAUCCUAUCAUUCAAAUGAGACUACACUCUCUUCAUUCGAAAUUCAAUUUGGUUUUGAAUUUUCUCCAGUAUGUUUUUGUCAGGAGGAUGAUCUCUCCUUGAACAACUGAAAUAGGUAUGCCCUGAGAAGGGGAGACGAACAACUCUCUGUUGGUUGUCAGUAAAGCACCAGAAAGAGAAGAGAAGCAAGUAGAAGAGUUUCAGCAUCUGCUGAGAACAUACAAGACAUAAGACAAAGUUGCAUCUUUCUUUAAGGCCAGUACCUUGGGAGGGACAAUGACAUCACUUCCUGAAUCCUCCCAGUUUUCUAUUUCCUGCCCUGCUUCCAUCAACAUCCAGAGCUGGAAACACCUCCAUCCUGCCUCUCCCUGCCAUGGCCUUCCUGCUCCUCUUCUGUGUGGCCUUUUGUCUCCUGGGAACAGGGUCCAUGGAUGCUGGUGUUACCCAGACCCCAAGGAAUAGGAUCGCAAAGACAGGAAAGAAGAUUAUGCUGGAAUGUUCUCAGACUAGGAAUGAUAAUGAAAUGUACUGGUAUCGACAAGACCCAGGACAGGGGCUACGGUUGAUCUACUACUCCCUUGGUAUUGAAGAUAUAAACAAAGGAGAGAUCUCUGAUGAAUACAGUGUCUCUCGACAGGAACAGUCUAAAUUCCCCCUGUCCCUAGAGUCUGCCAUGCCCAAACACACAGCUCUUUACUUCUGUGCCACCAGUUAUUAGCACAGUGCUUCUUGGCCACCUGCUCUCUACACAGAAAGACAGACACAUGGGUGACUUGUUUGCUCCAAAGGGCACCUGGAUGUGGGUUGUGGGAUGUGGGGUGUUUAGAGUUUUCAGUGGGUUUAGGCAGUGUGAGACUCGGUCUGAGCUAAGGACCAAUUUGUAUCAAUGUUCUCAAGCCAUGUGAUGACUACAAAUCAACAGGCUACACUAAAUCAAUCUACCCUGCCUAUUUAUUUUUCCUAGUGAGCUAGCCCAAUAGUGAUCUUUCAAGAGAAUGUACUUGAGCAUUUGACAGUAGCUCAUGAUUUUCAAUAAGAGCAUUUCUUAUGAGCUCAAGUCCUUCAAGGGGGCAUCAGGGAACUCUCCUGCUUCAGCAGGACAAGCGCAGAUCUGAAGCAGCAAAGAGCCAGUUGUUUAUUACAUCAGACACGGUUUCACGCUAUCACUAU